ensembl:lncRNA
CUUGAAGUCCACGCUGCCAGGCCCCCCUGGGGCAGUUAACACAAUGAAUGAUUUACUCAUUGCCAGUUCAUCUAUAUCAAAUUACAGGUUUUCUUGAGUCUCAACAUUGACUCAUUUUUUUCCUGCAGUUAAUGUGCUUGUGGAGUUGUUCUUUUGAAGGGAUGCCGGUUCUCCUUCUCAAUGCAGGAAUGAAAAUAAUUCUACCUAAGUGGAAAAACAAUCACAGAAAGUAUCCAAUGGAGUGUUCUUUUUUUAUUCUCAGCUGGAUUCAUGGAUAUUUAUAUUUAUUUGUAUUCAUGUAUUUGCAUUUUUUUCUUACUGAGCACCAUUUUACCUGGUUGAACUUUGUUUUAUAAAUGCACAAGGGCUUACAUCAUCCUGUGGGCAUCUCUGAAGAUCUAAGGGAAGAAAAUCUGAACCAGAAAGAAUGUGGCUGGCUUGAGGUCUGACGCAAAAGAAAAAACUUAUAAAUUUCCUCAUAGAACUCAUAUUAAAAUGGGAGUUUGGAUUCAAGCAACUAAACACUGAAAUUAAAAUUCUUAUAUGGGGUAUUUGUAGUUUCCAAUUAUAUCUUUAUGAUAUUUUCUCUGUGGAAGUUGAUUGCUGUUCAUUAUAAUAAAUUACUUGAAUUGUCUGUAUCUUUACUUAACCAUUUCUUUUCAUGUCUUUGCUUUCUUUUGUUCUUUUUAAAAGUAGAAAAUGCUCAGUUGCUAAAUAAUGAAGACUUAAUUUUUUGUUUCUCCCAAAUUUUACCUUACUCAUGAUCAUUAAUAAUUUUCAGAAGGGUUCUGAACCCUUCUCUUUUCUUGUGAACUCUAGAAAAAUGCUAGCUCAGUAUGCAUAGUACUCCAUCCUUAACCAGCUAUGUUAUUGCUUUGAACCCUGUUCUCCAACUUACUCAAGAAACUGCAGUUAAAUAUUAUUGGGAUCCUUUUUUUUUCUAUAACAAACACGUUUCUAUGUAUUUUAUGGAUAAUUAAAUAAAACUUGAACUCUGGGCUUAAGGUUUUUCUCACUGACUUGUCAUAGGAAAUACAAAAGUAACAGAAAUGAAUUUGUGGCUUAAAAGCAUCUUUUAGAGGGCCAGGGAUUUAGCUCAGUGGUGCUGUCCACUGCCUCACAAGCGAAAGGUCCCGAGUUUGAUCCGGUACCAAAAAAAAGGCUUCUGUGACCUACAUUUUUUGAGACAAUGAAAGUAAGGAGUCAAGAUCUUACAUGAUAAAGUGAAAGACAUCACUACCAGGAAAGCCAGUUAUGUGAAACAACCGUGUGAACCAUGUAAAAGCUGGAGAGGGGUGUCUUGAGAACCAGGGCUCAGUUUUGUCACAAGGGUUAGGUCAAUAGAAUACCAGUGCCACAUGCCUGGCAGAGUUCUUGCCACAUAGAUGUUAGUUGCUCCCUGGAUUAACCCCAGCUCUUGCUUUAUGGAUUCCUUGCUGACAUACCAUCAUAUUUAUCAGUGCUCUUACCUGUUUCUUUCCUUUGUCAAGGUUGUCAUCCACCUGGCCCUGCCUACGCAGCUGCAGCUAAAGGGCAGGUUCUCAGAUCAUAUGCCUCUCCCCUACUUUAUUUCCUUUUUUAAAAAAUCACCAUUUGGGACUUAGAGUUGGCUACUCAGAUUAAAAAAGUGUCUAAUUUAAUUUGGAUCAUUGAACCUUCAUUUCACUUUGGCUCGUUCAACUUAUUGAAUCAGACCAAAUUCUCAUAGUCCCUCAGGAAAUACCAUCUUUUACCCACAAGUUGGCAAAGGACUCCCAUUUUCAAAGAGAUAUUCAACCCAAUAACCAGAGGAGGUCCUGUGGCAGUCAAGAUUGGUCAAGGAAACAUAGGUCACUAUAAUCAUGACUCAGCCCUGGUUAUUAUCAUUGGGACAUAAUUUCACCUCUCUGCUAUUUCUAGCCAAUCUAUUUCUUAUCUCUCUUCUGCUUUUUCCUUUAUAUUUCAGCAAAAAUUCUAAGGUCUGUGAUCCAUUUUCAUGUUCGCCAAGAUCACAUUGGCACAGAAAUUUUUCUGCAGCCUUCCCUUGAGGACAACAUCACACUGAAACUUUCUGACCUUAAGCUAAAGGCUGUGCAAGCCUCUUAGCUACUUGUCUUCUGAUCAGCUUCUACUCCCACCUCCUCUUUUACUCAUUCAUUUCUUUCUUCCUUUCCUUAACACAGGUACUCCAUAGUUCUUUCCCCAUCUCUCUCCAGCUUUCUUUCAUCUGACCCUGAAAGACAAAAUGCUGAUAAGCUCCCUUCCCUGCUUCAUUAAAAAAUUGCCAUUAAAAUUUAUAGCUGGUUUAGGCUGGCCAUCACUGAUCUUCUUGAUUUAGUUACCGCCAAGAAAUGCUUUAUGAUUAUCCACUGACUUAUUUAUAACAAACAUAACAAAGUCCUUGGUGUUAGCAGCCUGUAGAGAAAUUAUUUGUUUUGAAAAUAGAGUGGAUACUUAAAGUUCUCUGUGAAGAAUGGGAGUGUUUGGGUUUGUUGUACUUGCAUAUUUUAUAUAGAAAGGUAAAGUCUCCAAGCCUCAAUAUGUAAUAACAUCAAAUCAUUUUGUUGCUGUGUAGAAAAUGUGUGUUCUAAGGUUGCACAGAAAAUUUCCUAAUACUUCUUAAGCACUGGUUUCAGUAGGCCACUGGUGAGGCUGGUAAGUGAAAACAAAGUGUACUGGUGAGGAUUAAAUGAUUCAUUGGCGGAAACUGUUUGAACAUCUAAAUGUGAUGAAGUUAGUUGAUUGUAGAAGAGUAAUUUAGAAGCUAAUGUAAUAACCACCUGUCUUGAGUCUGCUAUUUGAAGGAUGGUCAGAGAAGGAAUGAAUGCAGUGUUUGAAAUGUCUCAAUAGUGUUGAGUGUUCUGAUAUGUGUGAAAGUGAUCUGUUCUCCUUGGCACUCUGUCAAUCACUACAUGAGUUUAAGGUGUUCUGCAGUAUCCAAAGUCUUUUAACAGAUGCCUUUUGUCCUGAGAAAAACAGUGCAAUCACAUAGAACAGGCCAAUAAGAACAGUUGUAAUGCUUGUUUCCAAGGAGAAAUUGUGGCUGUAUCUUCUGGAAGUAAACACCAACAUUAUGGUGCCAGUGAUUGCUUUAGCACUUCACUGUCACAGAAGAAAUCUGAUGUCCACAGAAUGGUCAUAAUAUUCUGCCUUCUGUGCUUAGGAUCUGGCAGUAAAGACCAAGUGUCCAUACCUGUACUACUAUUGAUUACUGUAUAUUCCUUUGCUGAAGGCAGUGCUAUCUUAUGGGGUGUUGCAGAUAUAGAAGAGCUUGGUGGUGAAGGUGGAAGAAUAAAGACUGGUUUCUGCUGGUUCAAGUGGACUUUACCUAAUAAAUAUGGGAGCCAAGAGUAGAAGAACCAAUCACAUCAGGGAAAGCCUUCAAUAGCAGUUUUAAUGAGGUGCCUGGAUAAUUCAGGAAGUGUGGCUAGAUAAACCAAGUUCAAGUGAGGGUCCCACGUGACCCAAUCAAUUUCCACAUGAUAAUCCACAGAAAGCACUGUGUCAAAAUCACAACAAUGACAACUGAAACCUAAUCUUUAUCUCUUAAAAAUCAGCAAGGUAGAUUCGGUUUAUAAUCCACCAUAAAACACCUCUCAAACUCCUUUUGGUUCCUUUCCAACUUCUCCGACUCCAAAGCUGCUCCAGAAACAUUCACAUCCCAAAUAUCAAAAUGCUUUUUCACAUACCAUGUGGCACAUGUGAGCUUUCAUCACUUAUGCACACCUUCAGCUCUUAGUUUGCAGGCUCUACUCAGCCUCUCUUGUUUUGCUUUGCUUUCUCUUGUCCUUUGUUGUUUAAUGUGGUUCUAGCAUUUAAAAAAAGAUUAGGAACUAGUUUGGUAAAAUUCUCUUAGAAGCUAAGACAAGGGCAAGUGAAGAGUCUGAGGUAAAUACAAAGUUCUCUCAUUAGCUGGGGUGGAAACAGCAAUCUCAAACCAUUGCUGUGUUAAAAUAUCUGGUCCUAUCCCAACCUACAGUAAGAGCUAACAUUUAUUAGGAGUCAACAAAGUUCACGCAUUUUGUUGAGUAUUUUUAUAUAAUUAUGACAUGAUAAUUCUAAUUUAUCUUACAAAUUUGUAACAUCACUGUAAAAAUAAGGAGACAGUAGUUCAGAACGACUGAAUAACUUGCCAAGGCCACAUCGCAGGUUAAUAACAGAAUUAGGAUUUCCGAACCUCAGAAACCCUGCAAACACAGUGUACCUCAGUUCAUGAACACUAGUUUGCAAACAAUUUGGUUUACAAACAGAAACUUUUGGAAAAAUUUUGUUUUUGUUUGCAAACUCUACAUUGGGUGGCAAACAUGCCCGCAGUCGUAUUUCCCACACAAACACCAUCAUGGCCAUCAUUUCCAAAAUCAUAGAAAAAAAAUUAAGUUCGUGAAUCAAGAUACCACUGUAUCAUAUUCUUAAUCAUUAUAAACUCUAUGAAUUAGCAUCUCUCAAUGGCUGAGAUUGUACUGAGAUUAAAGCAAUUACUGAAACAUUGAUGCUGUUUGAAUAUAAGAAAUAUAAUUUAAGAAAUAUAAUUUAAUUCCAUCCUUUUUUUGAGGUAAGUGUAUUAUUUUGGACCCAACUCUGUAUUAACAAGAUCUGUAUUAGCAAAGGUUAGACACUUGUCUACAAAUUAGUACUGAAAUGUCCCAAUAUAAAUGCUUGUGAUUUGGAAGAGAAAUUCAAAAUUUAAAACUUCUCUUAAAAUUUUUUUUAACUGUUUCCUAUCCUCUGCCCAAAUGAUCAGCAGGAAUUCUAUAGCCCAGGGUUAAAAUUCUGAAUUUGUUACCCCUGAGUGGUUCACACCUCUCCACUCUGCCUCUUCUUGGAAACUGGAGGAAGGUUUUAGGAAGGAGGGGGAUUAAAGAGCUCAUGAGCACGUGGCAGUGAUGGAGCAUGGACCAAACCAGUCCACCAGUUUCUCUGGACAAUAUGCCACAUCCAACAGGAAUUAUUCAUUACAUUUCUACUUUUUAAAAUAAAUUUUCCCUUUGGUAUAAAUGUUUUCUUGCUGUUUUUGUACCCUGAUCAAAAGUGAAGUGCUAUUUCUCUAAUGACAUUCAUCAUUACUCCUGGGAAGUUAAGCCUUAAGUUGACACUUUCCACUUUUCUCUUUUUGGCAGAUGCCUUCAACCAGUACAUGCUUGAGUCAGGAACUUUCCUCUUUUAGCUGUGCUAUGUCACUACAUUGGUAGUGAGUCUCAAGCCAACUCCUUUGGCUGCUGUUUGGUGAUCUUUCUAUUGAGAUUAGAGUUUGAGUUGUUUUUAUAAAGGACAUGAAACAGAGAGGGGAAGGUGAGGCUGAACAUAGAGCUCUGACCUUAUAUUUGGAGGCCUUGGCCUUCUAGGUUCUAACAAACAUCACAGCUUACAAAAAAUCAUUCUAAGGCUCCCAAACAAUUUCUUGACUCUGUUAUAGAUGGAGUUUAUGGAAUUAUUGUAAGAGAUCUGCACAUCCCUAUGUAAAGGGAAUAAAUAAUAUAUCUUACACAUAUAUGUGCCAUUCAUUUCACACAUGAAAAUAGGUAAUGUUGUAAUCAAUACGAUACCAAUUGUUUUCCUUACACUAAUACAAUUAAAUUUAUUUGAUAGUAUGUAUUUACUUAGAGAUUCUACUACUGUCACAAGAAAUUUAUAAACUCUCACAUAAGAAAGGAAUCCCCCCCCCCAACCCGGUACCAGGGAUUGAACUCAGGACCUUGCACUUGCAAGGUAGGCUCAGUACCACUGAGCUACAUCCCUGGCCCCAGGAAUUCUCCUUUUUAAAGAGUUUGGAAUCACUAAUCUAAAUAAUGGCGGCCCCCGCUGGGACUAGCAAAAUAGAAAGAAAUAUAAAAGAAGUCAAAAAUACAAAGGCACUGCUAAAAAAAAGCAAGAAGUCUCUGCCCAAAGCUAUCAAUUUCUGUAGGGAAAUUAGCUGACACAUCCUUGCUUUACCUUGGAGCUCCCAAAGGCUGCAGCUAGAUUUAGCAUGGGUGUUAGAGCACCGUGUGUCAGCAAACUCACAGGAAGAACCCAUCAUUUCUACUGAUAUUCUGUCUAAGCUUCAGAAUAGCAUAGCAUUCAGGUGCCUGCUUGUAUCUUAAUGUUUCUGACAUUUUCCUGAGGAGAAAUAAUAGAUUAUGAGUCAAUGUGCAAAGGGAUAAAUGAAGAGCUCUCUCCAAUUGUGAAAAUCCUGCUUCAAGUUGUUGAUCAAAAGGUUCAUCCAGAGAGCACAGCAGGUAAGUGAUUUUGCUGGUUUUUACCUGCCCCAAGUCCAUCUCCCCUUCUUCUGGUAACAGAAUCUUAAUUUUCCUUCAGAAAAUUGUCCGUCUCCACUGCUGAGCACAUAGUCCAGAAAUAGUCCCAAGAUUGCCCCUGGAAUUAAUCAGGAGGCAAAUUUCUUCAGAUGAGAUUUUGAAACUAGUUAGAAGUUAGUGCUACUUCAGGCCACUUUUGCUAUCAUUGAGGAGAGCUUGUGUAAGAAUAAAGCAACACAGAAUAGCUGGUCAGCAAAUGGGCAGAGGGAGAGGGAGAGGAAGAAGGAGAAGGAGAGAGAAUAUCUCCAAAAACAUUAGACUAUCUGAUCUGAAUAUUGGUGAUUUAGAUUUUUAGACAAGUCUCCUCUGUUGCUUACAUGUUUGACUUAGGGUAUUGUCACUGGCAUGUAAUGAAACCCAAGUAAUACAGAGUUGCCUUUUUUUAACCUUUGGUGAAAUUUGCCAUCUUCUUUGUGCAUUCCAGUUGCAAGGAAACUCCACUCUGCCAUGUCAGUACUCUUCGUUAGUCCACUAUGCUCCCUCUCUGUGGGGAGCAGGACUUUUUUAUGCAGGUCCAAGGAAAGGUGGGGGGAAUAAGAGACUUUGUAGUCUUCCUGGGGAACUUGGCUCUCUGAUGGCGCUGAAAAGACAUCUCAGGCCAGAAUGUUCCAAAAUGCAAACUGCAGCUUUCUUUCCAAAUGGCAACAGUGAAUGAUGGAUUGCAGUACACAAAAGGUUGCCAAUUUUUGAUAGAGCAGCCCAGUUGCUCAGCUGGGGACCCUGCUAAGAAGGAGGACUAUAAUAGUGUUGUUUUAUGGAGAUGGGAUAUUUUGAUGCUGACCCUUUGAUUUUGCUGCUAUUACUUUUUUACUAGUUCUUUUGUCAUUCUUGAUUCCCCUGCUGUGUUCCUUUCCAUUAUCUCUUUUCUUUGUCUGAAAUUGAACCCACAGAAUGAGCCUGUAAUCAGAGGACAUGAGAAUCCCUAAAUUGCUUUCAUUUUGAUUUUCUACUUUAUUAAUAUUCAGAAUAUGGAACAUAAAGGAGGCAUUUUGAAUCACUGUCUCUUCAACUUGGUCAUGCUACUAUGUAAUCCAUUGCAUGGAAAAUUUGAAUAUGCAUCAUAGCAUUUGAACCUGACAUUUCUAGAUCUAUUUGUAGUACAUUAUGUAGGAAAUUACUUCAGUCUUACUAGUACUGGGGAAAACUUCAUCAUGCAUUAUUCCACCAUCCUGAAAAAAGAAGCAAGUGGGAAGAUUUGUAUAUAAGGACAAUACAAGAACAGCAAUAUUCCAACCUAUUUAUAAAGAUUAAACUAACU